rnacentral:rRNA from 1 species
AAUCCUGGCUCAGGACGAACGCUGGCGGCGCGCCUAACACAUGCAAGUCGAACGGAGAUUACAGGCGGAAGUUUUCGGAUGGAAGCUUGUAAACUUAGUGGCGGACGGGUGAGUAACACGUGAGCAACCUGCCUAUCAGAGGGGGAUAACGAUUGGAAACGAUCGCUAAUACCGCAUGACAUAGCGGAACCGCAUGGUUCUGUUGUCAAAGAUUUUAUCGCUGAUAGAUGGGCUCGCGUCCGA